rnacentral:rRNA from 1 species
AGCAGUCGCCGCGGGAAUACGAGGUGGGCAAGCGUUGUUCGGAAUUAUUGGGCGUAAAGGGCGCGUAGGCGGUUUGACAAGUCUUAUGUGAAAUCUUCGGGCUCAACUCGAAGUCUGCAUGGGAAACUGUCGGGCUCGAGUAUGGGAGAGGUGAGUGGAAUUUCCGGUGUAGCGGUGAAAUGCGUAGAUAUCGGAAGGAACACCUGUGGCGAAAGCGGCUCACUGGACCAUAACUGACGCUGAGGCGCGAAAGCUAGGGGAGCAAACAGGAUUAGAGACCCCCGUAGUCCCUGUCUCUUAUAA